rnacentral:rRNA from 1 species
UCCUGCCAGUAGUGAUAUGCUUCUCUCAAGGAUUAAGCCAUGCAUGUAGCAAGGAAUGUGGAGCAAAAGGUCACUUGUGGCCUCUGCUGCGAGUCUGCAAAAGGCUCCUUAAAUCCAGCGAGAAUCUGAGGUGUGAAGCAGCAAGCUUCUGUUAUCAGAGCAAAGCCAUGUGGAUAUUCAGGCUAACUGACUGCUUAAUACAUGGAAGAGCAAGUCCCUCUCUCUAGGGCACAGCAGUACCCUUUUGACCACCUAUUUGCUUGUUCACUUGCACAGCAAAUUGGGUGUGAGAUAGGGCUGGAGCAGGCUGUUUCAAAGACCAUUGCCCAAAAGGCAGUGUUGCAUUGAUGAUUCAGGCCUGUUGGAAAGGCUGGUUCUUGAUGCUCUGCAUUAGGUCAGCCUGUCUCUUAAAGCUGGGGCUGUGCCAUCAUUUUGGUGCCCAGUUGAAGUCUUGUUGACUUGACCUUAUCAAGGUUGAACCAAUUUGCUUCUACUGGUAUCCCCAGUGUCACACCUUGACCCUCUGUUCUAUCAUGCUGCAGAUGGUUAGGUAUUGGCUGACCAUGGCUUUCACAGAUAACGGGUGAUUAGGGUCAGAUCCCAGAGAGGGAGCCUGAGAGAUGGCUCCCACUGCCAAGGCAGGCAGCAGGCACGAAAAUUGCCCAAUGAGAACACAACUUUGAGGCAGCAAUGAGCCAUGGCAGUACUGAAACCAAAAGGUUCUCAGUGCUUGCAAUGGAUGUAUUACUCAAACCCCUCACUGAGUAUCCACUGGAGGGCAAGUCUGGUGCCAGCAGCCGCGGUAAUUCCAGCUCCAUUAGUGUAUGCUAACUUUGUUGCUGUUAAAAAGCUCGUAGUUGACUACAGAAUGGCCUGCUGCUGCAGGCAAGCUGCUUGAUUGAUUCGUGCCAAGCUGGCUUGAUCAUGGUUGGCAGUGCUAUUCUUUGGUACUGGCAAGGUUACAAGCCUUGGUUUGUGCCCUGUCCAAGACCUUGGGAUGCAGUGCCCCCCUUCAGUAGUAUGGUCAUUCACCUGGUUUCAGGAUGGGUUCCAGCCUAUGGCCAAGGCAUCAGCCAAUGGCCUCCUUUGUUGGCAGGCUAUGCUGUUGCACAAUGCCCACCCUCACUGCAGGUGUGCAUGCCUUUCUUGGGCAUGAUGUAAUGACAAGCUUUCAGCUUGCUUCAUUGCAGACUGCUUCUUAAAGAAUGGCCAAGUGGUGCUGGGUCAUCCAGUGCCAAGUACCAGGCUGCCCAUCAAUGCUGACAUGAACAAAACAGUGUGUCCAAGGCAAUUGCAACUUCUUUCCAAUGAUGGCAUGGUUUAGCAUGAAACAGCAGGGUAUCAUCCACUUGAUGCUGAGUUUUUAAUGGUCUUCUUGGCCUUUUGGUGGAGAACUUGAGUUCAUGGGUAAAGGGCACUGCCAUUAGCAUCAGUCCCCUGGGCUCUUGCUGGGGUUUGCCUACUUGCCCAUGCUCUGUGGAAGCAAUGAGGCAGUAAGGGGUAACAUGAACUGUGACACGAGAGGUGAAAUUCUUAGACUGUCACAGGUCAACCAGCAGCAAAGGCUUGUUACAAGGCCCUGUCUAUCAAUCAAGAACUUCAGUGCAGGGAGCCAAGAUGAUCAGAUACCGUUGUAGUCUGCACCAUAAACAGUGCCAGCUUGGUCUUGGGAGCAGACUCCAUCCCUGGCGCCCCCAGGACCUUCCCCAUCACUGAGAAAUCCAAAGCUUUUGGGUUCAGGGGGAAGUACUGUUGCAAGGCUGAAACUUAAAGGAAUUGACGGAAUGACACCACCAGGUGUGGAGUAUGCGGCUUAAUUUGACUCAACACGGGGAAUCUUAUCAGGCCAGGAUGCUGGAAGGAUGGACAGACUGAAGGCUCUUUCUUGAUUCUUUAGAUGGUGGUGCAUGGCCGCUCCUGGUUGGUGGAGUGAUUUGUCUGCUUGAUUGCGUUAACGAGCGAGAACUCUGCCUCCCAAUAGUCCCCUUUCUUGCCCUUGUAGGGCUCAGUCCUGGACAACUGUUUUCUCAGCCUGGACAGGUCAGCUGGCCUGAAAGCUAAGGGUUUGUUCUUCUUGGAAAGAUUGAUUAUGGGGCAUUGCAACAAACAAAAGUGCUAGCAAGUUGGAGUCGACAGCAGGUCUGUGAUGCUCCUAGAUGUCCUGGGCUGCACGCGCACCACAAUGGGCUGAAGCAGUGUGUUGAUUUAUAUCCCCUUUGGCUCCUUGAGGGCUGAAGGGCCUUGCCUCAAAAGGCUGGGAAAUCACUCAAUUCAGUGCAGUGACAGGGAUUGCUGACUGCAACAGUUGCCUUGAACGAGGAAUACCUAGUAAGAGCAGGUCAUCAGCCUGCUCUGAUUAUGUCCCUGCCAUUUGUACACACCGCCCGUCGUUGCUAUCGAUGGGGUUGGGACAGAGGACUCCAGAGGUUAUGUUCUGGUUAUCAAUGAUUGCCUUACAAGGGACUGGCUAAAGUUGUUCAAUGUUCUUAUCCUAGAGAAAGCAAAAGUCGUAACAAGG